GAGUUUGAUCAUGGCUCAGAUUGAACGCUGGCGGCAUGCCUUACACAUGCAAGUCGAACGGCAGCAUGAUCUAGCUUGCUAGAUUGAUGGCGAGUGGCGAACGGGUGAGUAAUACAUCGGAACGUGCCCUGUAGUGGGGGAUAACUAGUCGAAAGAUUAGCUAAUACCGCAUACGACCUGAGGGCGAAAGUGGGGGACCGCAAGGCCUCAUGCUAUAGGAGCGGCCGAUGUCUGAUUAGCUAGUUGGUGGGGUAAAGGCCCACCAAGGCGACGAUCAGUAGCUGGUCUGAGAGGACGAUCAGCCACACUGGGACUGAGACACGGCCCAGACUCCUACGGGAGGCAGCAGUGGGGAAUUUUGGACAAUGGGCGAAAGCCUGAUCCAGCAAUGCCGCGUGUGUGAAGAAGGCCUGG
rnacentral:rRNA from 1 species